rnacentral:ncRNA from 2 species
CCUUCCGAGGAGCGUUGCGACGAAUCACGAAUUCGCCAGGCUCGGAGUCCCAAACCGCGCUCACGUUAC